rnacentral:rRNA from 1 species
UACGGGGGGGGCAAGCGUUGUUCGGAAUUACUGGGCGUAAAGGGCUCGUAGGCGGCCAACUAAGUCAGACGUGAAAUCCCUCGGCUUAACCGGGGAACUGCGUCUGAUACUGGAUGGCUUGAGGUUGGGAGAGGGAUGCGGAAUUCCAGGUGUAGCGGUGAAAUUCGUAGAUAUUCGCAAGAACACCAGUGGCGAAGGCGGCUCACUGGCCCGGUACUGACGCUGAGGUGCGAAAGCGUGGGGAGCAAACAGG